UACGGAGGAUGCAAGCGUUAUCCGGAAUGAUUGGGCGUAAAGCGUCCGCAGGUGGCUAUGUAAGUCUGCUGUUAAAGCGUGAGGCUCAACCUCAUAAGAGCAGUGGAAACUACAUGGCUAGAGUGCGUUCGGGGCAGAGGGAAUUCCUGGUGUAGCGGUGAAAUGCGUAGAGAUCAGGAAGAACACCGGUGGCGAAAGCGCUCUGCUAGGCCGCAACUGACACUCAGGGACGAAAGCGAGGGGAGCGAAUGGG
rnacentral:rRNA from 1 species